AGCCUUGAGAUUAUAUUCUAGGUGAUGCCUGCCCAGUGCUAUAAGUAAACGGCCGCAGUACCUUGACUGUGCUAAGGUAGCAUAAUCAGUUGUCUUUUAAAUGGAGUCGGGAAUGAAUGGAUUUAUAGGGUGAUACUGUCUCUUUUAUAUUUUAUUGAAUUUACUUAUCAGGUGAAAAUACCUGUUUAUAGAAAAAAGACGAGAAGACCCUAGGAGUUUUUAUUAAUAGUUAAUAUUAUUAACUAAUGUUUUUGUUGGGGCGACAUGGGAACAAUUAACUUCCUUUAAAUAAUGUACCGACUUUGUAUAUAUAAUUAAACUACCCUAGGGAUAACAGCGUAAUUCUUAAUAGAGCUUGCGACCUCGAUGUUGGACUAGGGAUUUUAUUGGCUAGCCGCCAAUAAACAUUGUUCUGUUCGAACUUAACUCCCUACAU
rnacentral:rRNA from 1 species